rnacentral:rRNA from 1 species
UAGGGAAUCUUCGGCAAUGGACGAAAGUCUGACCGAGCAACGCCGCGUGAGUGAAGAAGGUUUUCGGAUCGUAAAAACUCUGUUGUUAGAGAAGAACGUUGUGUAGAGUGGAAAAUUACACAAGUGACGGUAUCUAACCAGAAAGGGACGGCUAACUACGUGCCAGCAGCCGCGGUAAUACGUAGGUCCCGAGCGUUGUCCGGAUUUAUUGGGCGUAAAGCGAGCGCAGGUGGUUUAAUAAGUCUGAUGUAAAAGGCAGUGGCUCAACCAUUGUGUGCAUUGGAAACUGUUAGACUUGAGUGCAGUAGAGGAGAGUGGAAUUCCAUGUGUAGCGGUGAAAUGCGUAGAUAUAUGGAGGAACACCGGUGGCGAAAGCGGCUCUCUGGACUGUAACUGACACUGAGGCUCGAAAGCGUGGGUAGCAAACAGGAUUAGAUACCCUGGUAGUCCACGCCGUAAACGAUGAGUGCUAGUUGUUUGGGGCUAUCCAGCCCUAAGUGACGCAGCAAAACGCAUUAAGCACUCCGCCUGGGGAGUACGACCGCAAAGGUUGAAACUCAAAUGAAUUGACGGGGUCAUAGCUGUUUCCUG